CUCUCCGCUCGGCCCGGUCGGCGCGCCGCUCCUCGCGCCUGCCCCGCAGCCAAGUUAGCCAAAGCAGCCCAGGGCCGCCGCCCAGCGCCCCCGAGCCCCGAGGAGAGCCGUCGCGACCGGGGGCUGCCUGGGCAAGGGCGGGGCGAGAGGGCAGAACGCCUGCUCUCGGACAGAUCUGGGGACCCUUCACCUGCCUCUACUACUGCAAAUGAUUGGAUAUUCGUCUGACUUGGCUCUUCCCUAAUGUGUGGAACUAAUUUUGUUCACUCUGUUUCAUGCUGGACCUGGCCUGAAAAUGGGCCCUUAUAUUGUCUUUGCACUUUCCAACUUGCCAAGUUUCUGAAAGAAGGACCAAAGUAAUGCCAAGAACUCCCAGAUGAAGAGGACCUUCCUUAGACCUAUAACAGAUUCACUACUUGACUUCAGAGGGAAGUUUCAGCUAAUUCUCAGGAAAAGGUCAAAACAGGCCUGUGACUGUCCCUUGAAUACUGAAGGUAUAAACAAGCUUCUGGCUCCUCCAGGUCAAGCAGAGGAACACUUUUAUUAGAAUGAAGGGUUACUUCUUUGUUAUUCAAACACACACCCACACACAUCCUCUGUAGUCUCCCUAAUGAAAAACCUCAACAGAUGGAGAGCCUGAGCUCCCAAGUCCGCAGGCUGAGAAGAUGCACUUCACUCAAGGGCCAGUGGGCUGGUACAGACUAGGGAAGAGAAAAGGGACAAAGGCUGCUAGUAUAGGUAAUCACUAUCUUUUAAUACUCCUAACACAUAGAAAUUCGAAAAAUCUUGUUCAGCAAUGUUAGCAGCCUGUGAGCCUCGGAAACUAAUUUGGCUGAUGUGUCUCUGAUAGGGAGCUUGGGGCUGCACCAAGGGGAAACAUUCUCCUCCUGUAUUCUCUCCUCUCUCUCGUUUGAAAGCCUGUACAAAGAAAUGGUACAAAUGGAUGGUUAACUUAAUGAUUCCAUCAGAGGCAGAUUUUUCUCUGUCAGGUCCCUGGAUAAGGUGGAGGUCUGAAAGCCAGGAGACAGAAUAUGUACUUAAUCGCCCUUUCUGACCUGCUUACCAGUGACCAGGACUACUCUCCAGGCCUUUCUUCUGCCACUUCCCCAUUCUUCCUGGCUAGUUCAGUUGGGUCUCAGCACUUCAACUCCUGGCUGGAUCCUGAGUUUUUCUUGGUUGCAGGGAAAGCUCUCACUGUCUGCAUCUCCUUCCCCACCCCCACCUCCCGUUUUGCAGCUGGCCAUUCUGGCUGCCUCACAGCUAUCCUGCCUUAAUUCAUAUUUGAUUGCCUGGACAGAACCACCUAGAAUGUCCAGACGACUGCCACCCCUCAGCCAUGGGCCUGAGAUCCUGCCCUGACCCCUUUCUUCAGACCCCAGGAGGACCCACAAUCUCCCUGAUCCCCACCUUCCCCAAAGUAGUCUCUAGGAAAAAAGCAGAGCUGGCUAAGGCCUGAGACAGAGCCAUUUCUUCCCCUUGGGCAAACGAGGUAGACCCUCCCAGAGACCAAUGCCGGAGAGGCCCGGAUCCGAGCUCCCUUUAUAUGGCCUCCCCCAUCACGGAUCCCGUGGGAAAACCUGACACACAAUGGCGCGGCUGCUCCGGGCACCCUCAACCCAGCGCCCUGCGGCAAGGCCUGGAGCAGCCUGGUGGUCUUGGUGCGCUCCCUUUGCCCUCCCCGCAACCCUCUGCGAGCACUCGUCCCAGGAGAGAGACCCUGGCUAGGGUGGAGGUUGCCUCCCGCAAAGGGCGCUGUUGCUGGGGCCUCCCCUCCCCCAUUCUCUUGUUUUUCUGCUUCUGAGACUCGGGAGGGAGGCGGCAGGCGCCUCCGCAGCCGAUAGAGCAGCUAUUGUGACCUUCCCUUGCAGAGCGGGAACCCAGCCGAGUGUGUACCGCCGGCGGUGGCGGGGGAGGAGGCGACUGUGUGUGCAAACCUCAGUCGGAGAGGGGGUGGCGCUGGGAAAUAAAGGUUUGCAACCUCAGGCAGUUGGGCCCUUCAGAGGGCGUUUGGUUGUGUUUAGACUCGGUUGCUUUCUAACACUAAUUGCAGGCUCAAAAGGAGCGGAAUUUAUUGCGAAGGCCAAGGCGGCUUGUUUAUAAUUUAUGAAGUUUUAAAUGGCUGUGCCGCGGGCCCCAACUUUCUCCUGGGCUGGCAGCCGCGCGGAAACGCGCCCUCCCCCGGCUCGCCGCCCACCCCCACCCACGCCCCUCAGAUGAGUCUCACGCCAAUGGCAGGAACAGAUCCGAGCUAUUAGAAGUCUCGGGAACCUCCAGAGAUGACAGAAGGUGGCAGAUUUGGUCCAAGCCCUCACCCCACUCGAGAGGAGGGCGUCGGGGAAAGCUGUGGCUGCCUGGAGAGGGAGCCCCUGAUCCCACACUUCCUUGGAGCCUGAGUGUGAGAGGAAGCUAAUGUCAGCCGGGCUAGACACCGUUUAAAGUCUAAUCCAUGAAACCCUAAGCCGCAAAUGACACUUGGGGCUUUGCAGACACCCGCAGACUCAGCAGAUACUCCUGCGGUAACACACUGUGCUGGAAAACGCCUGGAGCCAUGACACAUUACGUAUUUUUAUUAUUAUUUAUGGUAGGAAGAGGAGAUGAGGGAAAAUCGGGCUGAAUCUAAGCAGCCUGACAAUUCAGCUAGUUAAUAUUUAGCCAGUUAAGAAAGGUGGUUGUAAUCCCUGCAAGGCAGUGAGCUCUCCUUUGAUUUCUCUAAUAGCUUAAAAAAUAAUUUCUUACAAGACAAUUAGAAAUUCUGCCUAUGGAUGCAAAUUUCAUAGAAAACAAUGUUAAGCCUUGAAAGUGGGUAAAAUGUGCCUUCGAUUGAAGUCAUUUAUUCUGUUGAUACACUUCUACAACAUAUAUAUUUUAAACCUGCUCAGAUAAAGUGAAAUUUAGCAAAAGGAUAUCCCCUCCCACCCCCAAAUCUAACAUGCCAUUUUAAAAACAGCACAAAGGAACAAGGAAACUAAAUAUUAUUUUGAGCCAUCAUUACUUAGUGAAAUACAAACAUCCAAAUAGAAACGAUUGUUGUUCCACCAGAAGAUUAGAAGUUAAAUUAUUUCCACACAAUAGGAAUUUCACUUCGUGUCAUCGGGGAUGUAGUAGGAGUUGCAUUAUUUGUCAAACCAAAUAGAGAUGCGUGGGCUGACUUUGCUGAAAUACAAAAGAAUUGAACCUUAUCUGAAGGCGUUUUCUAAGUGGCCCCUCCCAUAGAAGCCGGGAAGUUGUCCACCCCUAGCAGAAGCCACAUUAAUAUUUACAAAAUGGUUAUAAAUCCUUGAAGACAUUUUUGCCCAUUUUGUAUAAGAAACAGGAGUAAACAAGGUGUUUAUACUUGUUAUGUUUCAUUAAUGAAAUAUUAUUACUUUACAUCUUGGGGAAUGUUUGUUUUCUUUAGAAAUGAACUAAUGAUCACUACAAAGGAAGAAUUCAUGACAGCAUUUCCUAGAGAAAAAGCUUAGGUACGCGUCUCCAAAUGAUGGUUUCUUUUUCUACACCUUAGCUUUUUCAUAGCUCAAUUCUUCUUACAACUUCUCUUGUGUUUUUUCUUUGAUUGUCAGUUUUCUUUCAAAGUUUAUUUUUUGUUACUUAAUGCAGAAAAGUGAGCUCUGGUCUCCCCAGUGUAAAAGUCGAUUGUGUCUAGAAAGAAGGCAGUAAAAACAGCAAAGCAGGCGCUGCUUUCAAAAAGCCCUGCCCAAAUCAUCCCGCCCAGAACCUUCUUAGGUUUGCAUCCUCAUUUCCCCCUCCCCUAAUUUCAAUAGCUGGAA
rnacentral:lncRNA from 1 species